rnacentral:tRNA from 1 species
GGCAAUGUAGCUCAGUGGUAGAGCCCUUGGCCAGUGUUUGUGAGGCCCUGGGUUUCAUCCCCAGCACUGCUA